UGCAAGUCGAGGGGCAUCAGGAAGAAAGCUUGCUUUCUUUGCUGGCGACCGGCGCACGGGUGAGUAACACGUGUGCAACCAACCCCGUACCGGGAGAUAACCCGCGGAAACGUGGACUAACAUCCCAUGAUACUCGAGAGCCGCAUGGCUCUAGAUUUAAAAUUCCGGUGGUACGGGACGGGCACGCGCGACAUUAGGUAGUUGGCGGGGUAAGGGCCCACCAAGCCGACGAUGUCUAGGGGUUCUGAGAGGAAGGUCCCCACACUGGAACUGAGACACGGUCCAGACUCC
rnacentral:rRNA from 1 species